AUUGAACGCUGGCGGCAUGCUUUACACAUGCAAGUCGAGCGGCAGCGCGGGGCAACCUGGCGGCGAGCGGCGAACGGGUGAGUAAUGCAUCGGAACGUGUCCCGUAGUGGGGGAUAACCCGGCGAAAGCCGGACUAAUACCGCAUAUUCUCUACGGAGGAAAGGGGGGGACCCGCCAGGGCCUCUCGCUAUGGGAGCGGCCGAUGUCCGAUUAGCUUGUUGGUGAGGUAAUGGCUUACCAAGGCGACGAUCGGUAGCUGGUCUGAGAGGAUGGGCAGCCACACUGGGACUGAGACACGGCCCAGACUCCUACGGGAGGCAGCAGUGGGGAAUUUUGGACAAUGGGGGCAACCCUGAUCCAGCCAUGCCGCGUGCGGGAAGAAGGCCUUCGGGUUGUAAACCGCUUUUGUCCGGAAAGAAAAGGCGCCACCUAAUACGGGGCGUUCUUGACGGUACUGGAAGAAUAAGCACCGGCUAACUACGUGCCAGCCGCCGCGGUAAAAC
rnacentral:rRNA from 1 species